rnacentral:hammerhead_ribozyme from 1 species
ACACUGAUGAUGUGUCCAAAACAGGACGAAACAGCUGUCCAGUGC